AACGAUGUGGGAAGGCCCAGACAGCCAGGAUGUUGGCUUAGAAGCAGCCAUCAUUUAAAGAAAGCGUAAUAGCUCACUGGUCGAGUCGGCCUGCGCGGAAGAUGUAACGGGGCUAAACCAUGCACCGAAGCUGCGGCAGCGACGCUGAUGCGUUGUUGGGUAGGGGAGCGUUCUGUAAGCCUGUGAAGGUGUGCUGUGAGGCAUGCUGGAGGUAUCAGAAGUGCGAAUGCUGACAUAAGUAACGAUAAAGCGGGUGAAAAGCCCGCUCGCCGGAAGACCAAGGGUUCCUGUCCAACGUUAAUCGGGGCAGGGUGAGUCGACCCCUAAGGCGAGGCCGAAAGGCGUAGUUGAUGGGAAACAGGUUAAUAUUCCUGUACUUGGUGUUACUGCGAAGGGGGGACGGAGAAGGCUAUGUUGGCCGGGCGACGGUUGUCCCGGUUUAAGCGUGUAGGCUGGUUUUCCAGGCAAAUCCGGAAAACUAAGGCUGAGGCGUGAUGACGAGGCACUACGGUGCUGAAGCAACAAAUGCCCUGCUUCCAGGAAAAGCCUCUAAGCAUCAGGUAACAUCAAAUCGUACCCCAAACCGACACAGGUGGUCAGGUAGAGAAUACCAAGGCGCUUGAGAGAACUCGGGUGAAGGAACUAGGCAAAAUGGUGCCGUAACUUCGGGAGAAGGCACGCUGAUAUGUAGGUGAAGUCCCUCGCGGAUGGAGCUGAAAUCAGUCGAAGAUACCAGCUGGCUGCAACUGUUUAUUAAAAACACAGCACUGUGCAAACACGAAAGUGGACGUAUACGGUGUGACGCCUGCCCGGUGCCGGAAGGUUAAUUGAUGGGGUCAGCGCAAGCGAAGCUCUUGAUCGAAGCCCCGGUAAACGGCGGCCGUAACUAUAACGGUCCUAAGGUAGCGAAAUUCCUUGUCGGGUAAGUUCCGACCUGCACGAAUGGCGUAAUGAUGGCCAGGCUGUCUCCACCCGAGACUCAGUGAAAUUGAACUCGCUGUGAAGAUGCAGUGUACCCGCGGCAAGACGGAAAGACCCCGUGAACCUUUACUAUAGCUUGACACUGAACAUUGAGCCUUGAUGUGUAGGAUAGGUGGGAGGCUUUGAAGUGUGGACGCCAGUCUGCAUGGAGCCGACCUUGAAAUACCACCCUUUAAUGUUUGAUGUUCUAACGUUGACCCGUAAUCCGGGUUGCGGACAGUGUCUGGUGGGUAGUUUGACUGGGGCGGUCUCCUCCUAAAGAGUAACGGAGGAGCACGAAGGUUGGCUAAUCCUGGUCGGACAUCAGGAGGUUAGUGCAAUGGCAUAAGCCAGCUUGACUGCGAGCGUGACGGCGCGAGCAGGUGCGAAAGCAGGUCAUAGUGAUCCGGUGGUUCUGAAUGGAAGGGCCAUCGCUCAACGGAUAAAAGGUACUCCGGGGAUAACAGGCUGAUACCGCCCAAGAGUUCAUAUCGACGGCGGUGUUUGGCACCUCGAUGUCGGCUCAUCACAUCCUGGGGCUGAAGUAGGUCCCAAGGGUAUGGCUGUUCGCCAUUUAAAGUGGUACGCGAGCUGGGUUUAGAACGUCGUGAGACAGUUCGGUCCCUAUCUGCCGUGGGCGCUGGAGAACUGAGGGGGGCUGCUCCUAGUACGAGAGGACCGGAGUGGACGCAUCACUGGUGUUCGGGUUGUCAUGCCAAUGGCACUGCCCGGUAGCUAAAUGCGGAAGAGAUAAGUGCUGAAAGCAUCUAAGCACGAAACUUGCCCCGAGAUGAGUUCUCCCUGACUCCUUGAGAGUCCUGAAGGAACGUUGAAG
rnacentral:rRNA from 1 species